ensembl:lncRNA
GAGGAGGUGAGGGCCCUGGCGGAGUGGACAGUCUACAGUGAGGAGGUGAGGGCCCAGGUGGAGUGGACAGUCUACAGGGAGGAGGUGAGGGCCCUGGCGGAGUGGUCAGUCUACAGUGAGGAGGUGAGGGCCCAGGUGGAGUGGACAGGCUACAGGGAGGAGGUAAGGGCCCUGGCGGAGUGUUCAGUCUACAGGGAGGAGGUGAGGGCCCAGGCGGAGUGGUCAGUCUACAGGGAGGAGGUGAGGGCCCAUG